rnacentral:tRNA from 1 species
GGUAGCUUAGUGGUAGAGUGCUUGCCUAGCAUGCAUGAAGCCCUGGGUUCAAUUCCUCAGUACCA